CGGGAGCGACUUAGCGGCGGACGGGUGAGUAACGCGUGGGUAACCUGCCCCAUACCGGGGAUAACGGUUAGAAAUGACCGCUAAUACCGCUUAAGCGCACGAGGCCGCAUGGCCGCGCGCGAAAAACUCCGGUGGUAUGGGAUGGGCCCGCGUCUGAUUAGCUAGUUGGCGGGGUAAAGGCCCACCAAGGCGACGAUCAGUAGCCGACCUGAGAGGGUGGCCGGCCACAUUGGGACUGAGACACGGCCCAAACUCCUACGGAAGGCAGCAG
rnacentral:rRNA from 1 species